CUGCUUCAGCAUUUGGGCUGCCUCCUCAUGGACGCUGUCUGAUCUCAGAAACUAAACAGGCUCAGACCAGCUUAGUAUUGGGAUGGAAGACUGUCAGGGAAUGCCAGGUGCUUCAGUUGG
rnacentral:rRNA from 1 species